CCACGGUUUCCGUGACGCAGCUAACGCAUUAAGUUCCCCGCCUGGGGAGUACGGCCGCAAGGCUAAAACUCAAAGGAAUUGACGGGGACCCGCACAAGCGGCGGAGCAUGCGGAUUAAUUCGAUGCAACGCGAAGAACCUUACCAAGGCUUGACAUAUACGAGAACGCUGCAGAAAUGUAGAACUCUUUGGACACUCGUAUACAGGUGGUGCAUGGUUGUCGUCAGCUCGUGUCGUGAGAUGUUGGGUUAAGUCCCGCAACGAGCGCAACCCUCGUUCUAUGUUGCCAGCACGUAAUGGUGGGAACUCAUGGGAUACUGCCGGGGUCAACUCGGAGGAAGGUGGGGAUGACGUCAAAUCAUCAUGCCCCUUAUGUCUUGGGCUUCACGCAUGCUACAAUGGCCGGUACAAAGGGCUGCAAUACCGUGAGGUGGAGCGAAUCCCAAAAAGCCGGUCCCAGUUCGGAUUGAGGUCUGCAACUCGACCUCAUGAAGUCGGAGUCGCUAGUAAUCGCAGAUCAGCAACGCUGCGGUGAAUACGUUCCCGGGUCUUGUACACACCGCCCGUCAAGUCAUGAAAGUCGGUAACACCUGAAGCCGGUGGCCUAACCCUUGUGGAGGGAGCCGUCGAAGGUGGGAUCGGUAAUUAGGACUAAGUC
rnacentral:rRNA from 1 species